ACCAACUGUUUUCGUUCGAUCACCGAAGUUAAGCAACGUCGAACCUGGCCAGUACCUAGAUGGGUGACGGCUUGGGAAUACCAGGUGCU